rnacentral:lncRNA from 1 species
AUGUGGCUGCCGGAGUCGCCGCCCGGCCCCGGCUCGCCGGACUGCCCUGACCUGCUGCAGCACGUCCCGGCGCUGCGCUCGCCAGCCACCCCGCUGUACCUCAGCUUCUUCGAGGAGGAGUGUCGCGCCAUCGCCGCCCGCCUGCGCCGCGGGGCGGCCGCGGAGUCCUCCCCGGAGCUCAGCGGGCUGCAGCCCAAGUCCCCCGGGCCCGCCACCUCUACGCCGCUGCCCUUACCGAGCCACGGGCGGCUCCCCGACUUGAGUGCGGGCGACUGCAAGGCCGCUGCUACCCCUGGCCCGGCCCCGGCCCCAGCGGAGCCCGGGUCCCUCCCGCAGCCCUCGGCCGGCGGUGGCGGUGGCCCUCCGGCCCGCCCCGCUCGCACGCCCGCUGUGUCCCGGCGGGCGCGGCGCGGCCCCGAGCUGCCCUCCCGCGGCGCCCCCGGCACCCCUGCCCGCUCCCCGGGCCGCGGCCGCUCCAGGCUCGCUCUGCCCCGCGCACGGGCCUCGCUGGGGCUGCAGCUCCCCGCGGCCGGCACGGGGCGCGGCGCCUGGGAAACGCGGCUGCUGCGGCCCCCAGGGAUCAGGCUGAAGCUGACAUCGCCUGCCAGGUCCAGGCUUCCACGUGCCAGCGGGGCUUCGCAGCAGGCACCGGCUUCCAGCCUUCCCAAACUCGCCCCCCGGGCCAGAGCGGUGAAAAGUAAUUCUGCACCUGCCAGUUGCCUCGCGCGAAGCAGGGAAGCACCUGCUGCCAAGGUGGGGAGUUGUAAACAGCCCUCCUCAAAGCUUUCUACAGGAAUUCCUACUGUGGCUUACUGCUCCUCACUGCGGCCUCCGGAAAAAGUGAUUUCAUUCAAGCGUUUUGGCCUCAAUAAAGAAUCAACUGCAGAAGAGCUGGUGUGCAAUAGGACCCGAGAGCUGAAGGAAAAUGAUGAGAGCAAAGAAAGGCUGGUUGCAGCAAGCAUUGUCUUGGGAGCAGGUAGAAAUGACGAGACAUGGGAGUAUGUGGAGUCCUCUUUGUCCAGUGAGCUGGCCCCUGGCCUGACUUCAGGAUGUGAAGAUGCAGUUCCUGCUGAGCAGUCUGCAGGUGAUCAGCGGUCCCAGGAACUGGAGCGUGUGAAGAAAGAGCUGGAACAAGUGAAGGGCGAGCUUGCUGACAAGACUGCUCAGUGUGAAGCCUAUGAGCAGACAAUCUCCUCCUUGCAGGCUCAGCUCAGAGCAGCAGGAAUCUGUGUGAAAGAUGCAGCAGUGUUGGACAGUGGUGACCUGGGGAGAGACUGACAGCUGGGACAUGGGGACAGACAACAGUGUCCAGCUGUGUGAGCCCCUGGGCCAGUGAUAUAUGUAGAGCUCUUGAAUUAAUUAAUUUUUUAACUCCUUGUAUGUAAAAUAAAGGUGUCUUUUGCAGUGGUGCUUGCUGUCUG